rnacentral:rRNA from 1 species
GUCCUAGCCGUAAACGGUGAUCACUAGGUGUUGGAGGCAUCGACCCCUCCAGUGCCGCAGCUAACGCAAUAAGUGAUCCGCCUGGGGAGUACGGCCGCAAGGUUGAAACUCAAAGGAAUUGACGGGGGCCCGCACAAGCGGUGGAGCAUGUGGUUUAAUUCGACGCAACGCGAAGAACCUUACCCAGACUUGACAUGCAUCGGACGGGUGUGGAAACACACCUUCCCUUCGGGGCCGAUGCACAGGUGCUGCAUGGCUGUCGU